GGGUAGCAAGCGCUUUCGUAAAUGCGUCACUCUCUCGCUGUCAGAUCCAAAGUAAACGGAGAGCGAGUUGCUAUUCACAGUGGGUGUUUUCCUGGUAGGGUUCAUUCAUUUCAAAGAGCAUUCUUCUUCACUUUUACGCGCACGUAGUAAUAUUGUUGUUGUUGGCUGGGUGUAGUGAUUAUGACUGUAUUGCGUUUUUUGAUUACAUAUGAACAAGUAAGCAUAUUUGAAAAAAUCUGCUGCAAACUGAACAAGACUGAAAAUAUUGGCCUUCUUCAGAACAAGACGUAUUUUUGUAUACACUGCGACAUCUAUCUAGUACUGCAGUAGUACUGUGCUCUGCAUUGCAAAAUACUGAAAGUACUUUUCACGUGUUUGUUCCUCGCAAAGCACGUUACACGUUCCCCGUUUGUUCUCCAAUGCAGCUGGAUAGCUAGCACGGCACUGUGCUUUUGCUGUUAACACUGUCGUGACGUUUUCAACACUUCAAACCUUUUCAGCUUCGCAGUGUCUGUUGUGAACUCUCUUGAAUUACUUAUUUUUAAAUGCAAAAUAUGUCCUUUUUUUUCCUGUUUAAAACGUUCAUUGCUGUAUUGUAAUUGCAGGGCUCUAAGUAAACAUUGGGAACCUAAAUAAAAUCCUAUAAUACAUGGUUAGGAGCAAAGGUGCCCUCGCCCCACAUAUACACACAUAUGUGGAAACUGAUAGAGGGGCAUAAGUGCAUGUAACAUGAUUCAUAUGAAAGCUCGUGAUGAGAUCUACCCAGUACCAAAAGGACCUAAAUGAAAUCACAAACUGCAUUGAAUAAAGUGAGAAUUAGUGCGAGGAGGGCUUAAGUGUACAUACGCCCUGCUGGCACUGAGUAUUGCAUUGUGGGGUGGAUCAUGUGACCGCAGAUAGGACAAAAUGGCUGAAAUGAGAAGUAAAUAAAAGUAUUGUGUAAAACAAAAUCUAUCUGCAGAGGAUAUUUUACUUAAUUUAAUGGAAGAAUCAGACAAAGAAUCACCUUCAGAAUCAGAGCUGGACAAUGGCGAGUCCAAAUCAGACGAGACAGAUCCAGCAAUCUUAUCAGAUGUGAGAGACCAUAGAGAAAGAUCAACAAUGGAGAAGGGUCAGCCAGCAUUACAGGGCCUACACAAAGCAGCUGACUGAGCAAUUAGAACGUUGUGAGUUUACUGCUUUGCCUUUAAGCCAGGACACAUGUAAUGGAGGUACCAUCUCAGACAGAAAUGAUCCCAUUCAAUUAGAUCAGCAAAGAGGAAGAAAGAGACAGAGAAACCCAGAAAACCACAAAAAGGAUAAGAAAUGCAAAAGAUUAAGAAAUACAGGACAAGAGUUAUCAGGUGUGCAGCAUGUAGAUAUACUGCAGUUCAAAUGUUCAAGAGUUAGACAGAUAAAGGAUUUUUGAAAGUUUUGGGGUAUGGCUGACAAAACCAGGCAGCAAGAUUUUAAAAUAAACCAUGUCUUCAAAAGGGCAAAGAGGCAGCCCACAACAAAGGCUAGCUCAAAAAGGCAAAACACUUAGAGUACAGUCUCACUCUGGAUGAUAGGAAAGUUAGAGUUUGCAGGACAUUUUUCUUAAGACCCUUGACAUCUCUGAAAAAUGUUUCCAGGUGUGCUCUUACCAGUACAAGUGAUACAAGAAUUAGUAAGCGUGAUGCGCAAGGUAACCAUUCUCCAUGGAACAGAAUUCCAGAAGACAAAAAGAACACAAUGAGAGAACACAUGAAUUAAUUUCCAUAAAUGGAUUCACACUACAGCAGAAAAUAUACUAGCUGGCAGUACCUUGAAACAAGGAUGCAUGAGCUUUACAAAGAAAGGUGAAAAUGAAUGGAAGAUCACAGCAGAAAAGGAACAUACAUACAGAGAAGUGUACAACACAGAAUUCUACCUGUCAUUCCAUAUGCCUAAAAAGGAUGCAUGCACAUUUUGUGAAGGAUACACCUCUCAGACAGUGGAAAAUCUGAAUGCAUUUGCUGCCCAUCAGUGAAGAAAAUCUCAAUCCAGACAACAUGAAGAAAGAGAUAAAGAAAACGCACAACAAAAUCCACCAUUAAAGGUUGUCACUUGAUCUGGAGCAGGUUUUGACUACUCCCUGGACUAAUGUAAGCAGUUUGUGUUCUGCUCGCAAGUUUAGCACUUAUAACCUAAGAGUUUAUGAAGUAGAAAGUAAAGAUGUUCACUGUUUUAUGUGGCAUGAAGCAGAAGAGGGGUGCAGAUCUUCUAAAGUUAACACCUGUGUUUUUCACUACCUGCAAGCAUUGCAUUCCCAUGUGAAGAAUGUUCUUUUUUCUGACACUUGUGGAGGCCAAAACUGAAAUGUCUUUCGUACAAUGUGCUACAUGCACCAUUUUCUGUGAUUGGCUACAAAUUCAUGGAAUCUGGUCAUAGCCAAAUGGAAUGUGAUAGUGUCCAUGCAGCAGUGGAGACAGCUAGAAAGAGAGUUUCGAUUUACACUCUAGAUGGGUACUAUGCUUUUGUCAGAGCUGCCAGAUCUCAGCCAUACCAUGUGCUCGUAUUGUGUCAUGGGGAUUUCAUAGACUUUAAAUCAUUAGCAAAAGACCGGGUAAAUAACAGAAAAAAUGAUGAAGCUGGACUGGCUGUCAGAUAGCAGAACAUCGUUACAAGAAAUAACAUCCAGGUACAGUUUUGUUCAAAUAUAGUUUGGUUAAUCAGGCUUUCCACAAGAUAACAAUUUUGAACUAAACAAGGGUGCAUCAUUCCAGAAGCAAAGGCGUUGUGGGUAGUUUGUAUGAGAAUGAAUGCAAAUGACUUGCUUUGCAGUGUACCACAACCCUCCCAUGAGGCCUACAGGUCUGUAAAUACUGCUGAAAGUGCACAUAGGUAAAUGAUUUUGAAACAGGACAUAUCAAAUUGGCCAUCUAGCAGUGUUUUGUUUUUUUUUCAGUUGUAUUGCAACUGGAGAAGUUAGCUUUAAAAAUGAUUUGAAAAUGAAAUCAAAGUUAAACUAAAAUGCAUAAAAAAGUGUUUGAUUAUACAGUUGCAAUAAGUUUAAGGUUAGCCAUUAAACUACAAAUGUUAAAAGUACAAAGAAAAUGUACAUUUUCCACAUAUGCCUCUGAUUCUAACUCUGUUUUAUCUAUGGGUAUCAAUUCCAAUUUGUGCUAAUGUGGCAUAUAUCUGACUUCUAAGCAACAUUUCUGAUGCUGUUCAUAGUUUUUAAAGUUUAAAAUGUCUAAAUGUUGGAAACCCUUUAAUUUUGUUGAAGAUAAUAAUGUCACUUAACACCCCUCUGGUUCUGAACCCACGAGUGGCUAAAGAUAUAAAACUAAGAGGGGUGGCACAGCUUGCAUGCUUACAACGUAAUGACCAUCUCUGUACCUUUUGAACUUAAAGAGCCCUGGUAUUUUAUAUCAAGUACAUUACUAUCUGAAUAUUAUAAACUCUGCUUGAUGACAAUUUUCGUGUUUAUUUGUAUAACAUUAUGUAUAAAUGACUCUAACAAAAAUAUAUCAUGCAAAGAAAACCAAUGUAUAAAUGACACGUGAAAUAAAUAACUAUUGUACAGAA